rnacentral:rRNA from 1 species
CACCGAAAGAAAAAGAGUGGCGAACGGGUGAGUAACACGUGGGUAACCUGCCCAUCAGAAGGGGAUAACACUUGGAAACAGGUGCUAAUACCGUAUAACACUAUUUUCCGCAUGGAAGAAAGUUGAAAGGCGCUUUUGCGUCACUGAUGGAUGGACCCGCGGUGCAUUAGCUAGUUGGUGAGGUAACGGCUCACCAAGGCAACGAUGCAUAGCCGACCUGAGAGGGUGAUCGGCCACACUGGGACUGAGACACGGCCCAGACUCCUACGGGAGGCAGCAGUAGGGAAUCUUCGGCAAUGGACGAAAGUCUGACCGAGCAACGCCGCGUGAGUGAAGAAGGUUUUCGGAUCGUAAAACUCUGUUGUUAGAGAAGAACAAGGAUGAGAGUAAAAUGUUCAUCCCUUGACGGUAUCUAACCAGAAAGCCACGGCUAACUACGUGCCAGCAGCCGCGGUAAUACGUAGGUGGCAAGCGUUGUCCGGAUUUAUUGGGCGUAAAGCGAGCGCAGGCGGUUUCUUAAGUCUGAUGUGAAAGCCCCCGGCUCAACCGGGGAGGGUCAUUGGAAACUGGGAGACUUGAGUGCAGAAGAGGAGAGUGGAAUUCCAUGUGUAGCGGUGAAAUGCGUAGAUAUAUGGAGGAACACCAGUGGCGAAGGCGGCUCUCUGGUCUGUAACUGACGCUGAGGCUCGAAAGCGUGGGGAGCGAACAGGAUUAGAUACCCUGGUAGUCCACGCCGUAAACGAUGAGUGCUAAGUGUUGGAGGGUUUCCGCCCUUCAGUGCUGCAGCAAACGCAUUAAGCACUCCGCCUGGGGAGUACGACCGCAAGGUUGAAACUCAAAGGAAUUGACGGGGGCCCGCACAAGCGGUGGAGCAUGUGGUUUAAUUCGAAGCAACGCGAAGAACCUUACCAGGUCUUGACAUCCUUUGACCACUCUAGAGAUAGAGCUUCCCCUUCGGGGGCAAAGUGACAGGUGGUGCAUGGUUGUCGUCAGCUCGUGUCGUGAGAUGUUGGGUUAAGUCCCGCAACGAGCGCAACCCUUAUUGUUAGUUGCCAUCAUUUAGUUGGGCACUCUAGCGAGACUGCCGGUGACAAACCGGAGGAAGGUGGGGAUGACGUCAAAUCAUCAUGCCCCUUAUGACCUGGGCUACACACGUGCUACAAUGGGAAGUACAACGAGUUGCGAAGUCGCGAGGCUAAGCUAAUCUCUUAAAGCUUCUCUCAGUUCGGAUUGUAGGCUGCAACUCG